AUCUUAGAGACAUUAUUUGAAGAUUAAGAUUCAUUCCCAAAGACUAGGUUUUCACCCACAGAUUCAGUUCACGGGAGCUUUCUUUACUCAAGAUGUGUUAUUUGUAUGCAGUUCUUGUUCAUUUACCAUCACGGUCACGGUUUCUGUCACAAAAACCCAUGACACAAGAAAUGAAUCAUGACCUGUGUGUAGCCCAGGCUUCAUAAGCUGUAAGCAGAAGUCUAUUAUUCUGUAUGUACGUAUGUGUGUGAGUGAUAGUUGGCAUUUAUAGGGUUAACUGUGGUUACCUGAGCAGACAGCGUCAGGCUGUGGUAUUGCGUCAUGAUGUCACACAGGCCGACAGUGAGAGAGCGAGAGAUCACGCUGUCGGGCUGCAUGUGCGCGAAGGAAUCGCUCUGCCCGAAGUGUCCAUAACUUAAUAGAAGACGGUCCAAAAGCGUCGAAGACGGUCAGAAUUCGCCAGCAGUUGCAUCCACGUGUUUUUGCUUCAUAGUUCCUGCUCGGCGGUCAGGUUUUUUUGAGUUGGAUAUGAUUUACUGAAGAUUGGUGUUGUAAGUCGACGUCACCGUCACCAGUAACCAACUUCAGCAAGGAGACCAGCAGCAGAUAGCCACGAGGCGGCUUCCCGCUGGAGAAGAGGAUCCAGAGAACCAGAUGGCGAGCCAGAGCUGAUGAACAGCGGAUGAAUUACCUACCUUCUUAACUGCGGUGUGGUAGGACCACGGAGUACACACAAAAUUAAAGGGCCCCAACGUAACAACCACAGAGGACAUUUUCUUUUAUUUUUUAUAUAUUAUUCUCGUGCGCACUUUAUUAUUUUUCUUGUUAUUAAUUAAUUCAAUUGUAUUCUAUUGUCAUAUUGUUCUAUUGAGUUCUAUUGAGUAUUACAAUAAUACAGUGUUGAGAACUCAA